GAUGAACGCUAGCUACAGGCUUAACACAUGCAGGUCGAGGGGAAACGACAUCGAAAGCUUGCUUUUGAUGGGCGUCGACCGGCGCACGGGUGAGUAACGCGUAUCCAACCUGCCCAUCACUUGGGAAUAACCUUGCGAAAGUAAGACUAAUACCCAAUGAUAUCCCACGAAGGCAUCGGAAUGGGAUUAAAGAUUUAUCGGUGAUGGAUGGGGAUGCGUCUGAUUAGCUUGUUGGCGGGGUAACGGCCCACCAAGGCAACGAUCAGUAGGGGUUCUGAGAGGAAGGUCCCCCACAUUGGAACUGAGACACGGUCCAAACUCCUACGGGAGGCAGCAGUGAGGAAUAUUGGUCAAUGGGCGAGAGCCUGAACCAGCCAAGUAGCGUGCAGGAAGACGGCCCUAUGGGUUGUAAACUGCUUUUAUAAGGGAAUAAAGUGGGUCACGUGUGACUUUUUGCAUGUACCUUAUGAAUAAGGACCGGCUAAUUCCGUG
rnacentral:rRNA from 1 species